rnacentral:lncRNA from 1 species
GAGAUCACAAAGACUCGGCUAGUACUAACAAACUAGCACAUGCGCAGCUCCUCUCCAACCAACUGAGAAACCUGCCGGGUCACUCGACCCAUUCUGACGUGGUCUAUCAUGUUCCAUCCUUCAUCACGUCUUUUGCCGCUUCUCACGGCGUCGUUGUAUCACACGGCACCAUCGGCAUCUCGCCGUGCUCGCCACAUCGCACGGCAGCCCGACACCUCGCCGUCUUCACGCGCCUCCGAUCAAGCUUGGGCUCGUCACAGCGACCGUCACGUUCGUCAAACAAACAUACAGAUACAUGAACAUGAACAUGACAAGAUUAAACCUAACAG